UGUACUAGUAAAGUGUGUUUGAACGAUGGAGGGACGCAGGAGGCUAAGCCGUGCGCACGAUUGGAAAUGUGCGUUCAAGCAGUAAGUCAGGUUACCAGUUAAAUGCUGGCAGCCGGGUUGACAAGCUGUGAUGAGGACCGAAUUUAAGUAGGGAAGUGGCCGACGUCACACUGCCGAGAAAAGCUUCUAGUGAAUACUUUAUUACCCGUACCGCAAACCGACACAGGUAGUCGAGGAGAGUAUCCUAAGGUGUGCGAGUGAACUCUUGUUAAG
rnacentral:rRNA from 1 species